rnacentral:rRNA from 1 species
AUGCAAUACCCUAGCUUGUAUAGGAUCGUCAGACAUAAAUUAGUCACGAUCAAACAAGUAUUGGGACAAGAAAACCCUGAUAUUUCUUUCCGUAGGGACCUUAUUGGGCCUCGUCUGGUAGCAUGGGAUGAAUUACUCAAUCGUCUGGAGGCCAUUCAGCUGCUAGGCGAACCAGACAAGUUCCGAUGGAAUUUGCAUCAGAAUGGUACCUUUUCAGUCAAAUCCUUGUAUGAUGCAAUGACCCACACUGAUGUACCGGUUGAUAACAAGAAAUUGUGGAAGCUCAAAAUUCCCUUAAGAGUGAAGAUAUUCCUCUGGUUUCUAAACAGAGGGGUCAUCUUAACUAGAGAUAACUUGGCACGACGCAACAGGCAAGUUAGCAAGACAUGUGUCUUUUGUCAACAUGACGAGUCCACCAAACACUUAUUUUUUGAGUGUUAUCCAUGCAUGUACGCGAUGGCUCCGUACGUGGUCUAUCCUGUAUAG